CGCCCCCUCUGGGUCGGAACUAGGGUGGGCCGGGGAGGGGGCGUCGAGCCCAUUCGUGCCGUAUCCCUCCGCCCCCCUUCCCGACACCCUCGCCGCCAGCGUUUCGUGCCGCAUCCUGCGCAGCCCCUGCCCAGUUCGGUGCAGCAGCGCGGGGGGCGGGACGCCUCUUUGCGAUUCUGGCCGCUCGCAAGGCGGUGGGAAUCCGACUGAGGAGCUCCGAGAGGAGGGGGAGGACAGCGACCUACACCUUGAGCCUGUGAAGGGUGCAUCUGUAGAGGAGAGGCUUGAGAAAAAGGAGGAGCAGGACAAUGGCCUGGAUUUCUGGAGGUGUGUGGGGUUAGGGGGGGAUGGGCAGCAGCCAUUGAGUGGAGACCCGAAUCGAGGAGGGUGA
rnacentral:lncRNA from 1 species